GUAACAGGAAGCAGCUUGCUGCUUCGCUGACGAGUGGCGGACGGGUGAGUAAUGUCUGGGAAACUGCCUGAUGGAGGGGGAUAACUACUGGAAACGGUAGCUAAUACCGCAUAACGUCGCAAGACCAAAGAGGGGGACCUUCGGGCCUCUUGCCAUCGGAUGUGCCCAGAUGGGAUUAGCUAGUAGGUGGGGUAACGGCUCACCUAGGCGACGAUCCCUAGCUGGUCUGAGAGGAUGACCAGCCACACUGGAACUGAGACACGGUCCAGACUCCUACGGGAGGCAGCAGUGGGGAAUAUUGCACAAUGGGCGCAAGCCUGAUGCAGCCAUGCCGCGUGUAUGAAGAAGGCCUUCGGGUUGUAAAGUACUUUCAGCGGGGAGGAAGGGAGUAAAGUUAAUACCUUUGCUCAUUGACGUUACCCGCAGAAGAAGCACCGGCUAACUCCGUGCCAGCAGCCGCGGUAAUACGGAGGGUGCAAGCGUUAAUCGGAAUUACUGGGCGUAAAGCGCACGCAGGCGGUUUGUUAAGUCAGAUGUGAAAUCCCCGGGCUCAACCUGGGAACUGCAUCUGAUACUGGCAAGCUUGAGUCUCGUAGAGGGGGGUAGAAUUCCAGGUGUAGCGGUGAAAUGCGUAGAGAUCUGGAGGAAUACCGGUGGCGAAGGCG
rnacentral:rRNA from 1 species